CCUACGGGUGGCUGCAGUGGGGAAUAUUGGGCAAUGGGCGCAAGCCUGACCCAGCCACGCCGCGUGAGUGAUGAAGGCCUUCGGGUCGUAAAGCUCUGUGGGGAGGGAAGAAAAGCUACGUGCUAAUACCACGGAGUCUUGACGGUACCUCCUUAGCAAGCACCGGCUAACCACGUGCCAGCAGCCGCGGUAAUACGUGGGGUGCAAACGUUGCUCGGAAUUAUUGGGCGUAAAGCGCACGUAGGCGGCUCUCUAAGUCGCAUGUGAAAGCCCCA
rnacentral:rRNA from 1 species